AUUGCCAUUCUGAGCAAGUGCAGCAGGCAGUGUGCCUACAGCUCUGCAAAGAAACUUCAGGACUUAUGGAGCAAGGAUGACUGACACAAACACAAAAAUCAUUCUGCCUGUUGAAUGAAUCAUAAAAUACUGUCUUUGAUCCAGGAGGCUUGUGUCAUCUGCCAGCAUUUAUGAAACUGUGCUCCAAGUAGGAUGGGGUCUCUAUCUGGCCAGCGCCAUGUUGCCUGAACACUUGAAGACAAAGAAAAGGGAAGAAGAGGCAGGGCGCCGUAGCUCACGCCUGUAAUCACCGCACUUUCUGAGGGCGAGGAGGGUGGAUCACGAGGUCAGGAGUUCAAGACCAGCUUGGCCAAGAUGGUGAAACCUCGUCUCCACUAAAAAAAAUACAAAAAAAAAAAAAUUUAGCCGGGCCUGUUGGUGGGCUCCUGAAAUCCCAGCCACUCAGGAGGCUGAGGUAGAGAGCUGCUUGAACC
rnacentral:lncRNA from 1 species